AGGAGCCGUAUGAGGUGAAAAUCUCAUGUACGGUUUUGGAACAGAGAAUUCUUUAAAUCGAAUGACGACCAU
rnacentral:ncRNA from 1 species